rnacentral:rRNA from 1 species
ACGUAGGUGGCAAGCGUUAUCCGGAUUUACUGGGUGUAAAGGGCGUGUAGGCGGGACAACAAGUCAGAUGUGAAAUUCCAGGGCUCAACCCUGGACCUGCAUUUGAAACUGUAGUUCUUGAGUGAUGGAGAGGCAGGCGGAAUUCCGAGUGUAGCGGUGAAAUGCGUAGAUAUUCGGAGGAACACCAGUGGCGAAGGCGGCCUGCUGGACAUUAACUGACGCUGAGGCGCGAAAGCGUGGGGAGCAAACAG